AGGAGCUGAACUGCAGAGAUUGUACUGUCGUGUAGCGUCGGUAAAAGUCGAUAAUUAUACAUAUAUUCUUAUUUUUAUUAGAGGAGAGAGGUGUGUUGUCGGUUAGUAGACUCGUAAAGUUAGAAAGUGGGUAAUUUGGAGCAGUUUUUUUCUCACAAAUUCACUUAAUUAGCACGAAGGCCGUAUCCUCCUGUGGACUGCUGCUAGCUAGCUAGCUAUCUCUCGCGCACUUGGUUGCUAAUUGAUUGUGUGUGGAGAAACACCUGCGCAAGUGCGCGUGAGUAGAGUCGCUAUUAACUGAAGUCAUGCGGACGUAUGACUUAUUGCUUACUGGGAAUAACAUGGGUCAAAUAAAAUGCAUUUUAGCACAGUUUGUGGGUUUUUGGAUAGCGGGCUUCGGUUGCUCCAUGCUAGAGGAACAUGGCAGAGCUCUUCGUUGAAUGCAGAAAUCCCUCAACUGGUUCAAGUUUCUUCCAAGAAACGCUUAUAACCCCUGGCCUCAUUGACAGCGGAUGAGAGAAUCAUACCAGCAGGGGGCAGCGUCACACUCCUAUAUGGAUGUAUGACUGAUUCAGACGUACCUCAUCAUCCUCUACACCUGAGACGGUGCAAGGUGGAGCACUGUAGUACACUAUCAGGACUUCAGAAAGAGGUAUCAUUGCAGAGGAAGAAGAGGAGACCCAGUCAGUCUAUACAGAGGACAGUAACACCCACACAAUUGAGAAAAGAGGUGUGAUGUUUUAUUUUGAAAUUGGAAAACAUAGAUUCAUGAGUAAUGUUACAGUAACACCUGAUAACUACAGAGUUGUUGCUAAUUUUGUAUUCUUGUUUCAUCCACUUUGAAUAUUUGAACAGUUUUCAACAAGGCUUUCAUCACACAGCAGCCUAACUGACCUCAGAUUUUCAGAGGGGAGACCAGCAAUUCAGGACACCUUAACCUUAGAAGUGAGCACUGCAGGUGCUAGAAUGGUCCAUAAAAGUUUUAGUCUGCAGUGUCUGACAAAACUUCAAUUUUUUGUCUUUGUGAAUUCAUCUGGUUGUCUCAACAGGGAAGCAGCAUGAGCCAGAGGAGGGCGCUGUUUACACUGAUGUGAAGAUGGAGACUAAAAUGUGGAGGUGCACAGCAUGGAAAUUUUCCACCUGAGCGUGGCUGCUUGAGGGGGCGUAGGUGCUAAAAUGACGUAAUUUGUCCACCUGGAGCCGCACGGACCUUGCGGCCGCGCUGAAGCAAUGAAGCCAAGGAACAAAGGGAUCCUCUUUCCAGUCACAGGAAAGUCGAGUGUGCAGCAGCAGAUGCAACAGUUUACUUUUAAUUCCAAUUUGAAACGGCUGUCGAUCAUGUUGCUACCAUAAGUCCUCUCAGACCACUUCAGCUAAUAUGCAGACUGGUCGGAAUGGAAGUACUACCAACCCCAGCUUUAAGAUUGGAGGAGGUCCCUUCAAGUGUUGGUAUGCCUAAUUAAGUGCCCAGUGAAUGUAAAAUGCAAUACAAAAAAUAACUAACAUGGCUUUUUUUGCAGAGAUCGGAAACCUCAAGUGAGAGAUGGUUGAGCUUUAACAACAAUUUUACUAUUGCUGCAAAAGACCUGUUAAAGCUCAUUCAAAGUGGCUUAGCAUUGCACAUAAAUGUAGAAACGUUCGUUAAUAUGGGCAUUCUACACAUACAUGAUCUGUUAGAUUGUCCACAGAUUGUCGGGCCAUAUGUAUGUCUCAAUGUUCAAUCACUGUCUUGAACAGAUUCUCUUUUUGAAGAAGC
ensembl:lncRNA